rnacentral:rRNA from 1 species
AUUGAACGCUGGCGGCAGGCCUAACACAUGCAAGUCGAGCGGAUGAAGGGAGCUUGCUCCUGGAUUCAGCGGCGGACGGGUGAGUAAUGCCUAGGAAUCUGCCUGGUAGUGGGGGAUAACGUCCGGAAACGGGCGCUAAUACCGCAUACGUCCUGAGGGAGAAAGUGGGGGAUCUUCGGACCUCACGCUAUCAGGUGAGCCUAGGUCGGAUUAGCUAGUUGGUGGGGUAAAGGCCUACCAAGGCGACGAUCCGUAACUGGUCUGAGAGGAUGAUCAGUCACACGGGAACUGAGAAACGGUCCAGACCCCUACGGGAGGCAGAAGUGGGGAAUAUUGGACAAUGGGCGAAAGCCUGAUCCAGCCAUGCCGCGUGUGUGAAGAAGGUCUUCGGAUUGUAAAGCACUUUAAGUUGGGAGGAAGGGCAGUAAGUUAAUACCUUGCUGUUUUGCCGUGACCAACAGAAUAAGCACCGGCUAACUUCGU